GCCGUAGCUCAGUGGUAGAGCAUUUGUUCUGAAUGCAAAAGGUCUCAGGUUCAAUCCUCGGCAUCUCCA